rnacentral:lncRNA from 12 species
AUGCAGAAUCCUAUUUUAAAAUGCGGACUAAUCGGGUCCGGCUUUAAAGUUCCAGUCGGUGGACUCAGGCUCAGUCACCACUUUGCCCCGAGCAGGAGCAGGAGAGGCGCAGAGCUCGGGGAUGCAGGCACCUGCAGGCGGCCACCUGGCUCCAGCUCCGCUCUCCUGGCGCUCCUUAACCUUAGGGAGCUGCCCCUCUCCUCUCCUCUCCUUCUCCCCCUUUUGUUUUGCUCUCUUCCCUGCAGCUUCCCUGCUCCGCAGAUGCCAGCACGCGGGAGGCAGGGCCCCGGGGAGGUCUGUAACCCGGCGGGGAGCGGAGGGCAGGUCGAGGUGUCAGGACAUCUGCACUCGGGCCGCCCACCCCUAGGGCUCCGCACGGCGGGGGCUCCGCACACUACACCCCGGUCCUCGGCCUCGCAGGGAGUCCGGCCGCCCCCCGGACACCAGCCCUGGAGAGAGGAAGAGAAGACAAGGGGACAGAAGAAGUGCUUCCCGCAGAGGGGACACUGCUGUCUGCUGGAUUUAAAAGUGCGGCCUCUUUGAAACAAAUACCGUGA